CCUACGGGUGGCUGCAGUGAGGAAUAUUGGUCAAUGGUCGGAAGUCUGAACCAGCCAAGCCGCGUGAGGGAUGAAGGUCCAGAGUAUCGUAAACCUCUUUUGUCAGGGGACAAAGGCGAGUACGUGUCCCCAGCUGAAUGUACCUUACGAAAAAGCAUCGGCUAACUCCGUGCCAGCAGCCGCGGUAAUACGGAGGAUGCAAGUAUUAUCCGGAUUUAUUGGGUUUAAAGGGUGCGCAGGCGGUCUGGUAAGUCAGCGGUCAAAGGUCGGGGCUCAACCCGGGCACUGCCGGUAAAACUGGUAGUCUAGAGAGGGAGAGCGGUAGGCGGAAUGUGUGGUGUAGCGGUGAAAUACAUAGAGAUCGUGCAGAACGCCGAUUGCGAAGGCAGCAUGCCGG
rnacentral:rRNA from 1 species